AAUGAGACCAAGGUUGGCAGAUCCAUCCUUUAAGCCUCAAAGGAAUCACAUCCUUGCUGCACUGGAUAACUUUUCAGAAGUAUUACGUAUUCGGUAUUCUUCUCCACUUUUUCGUUUAAGGACGGCAAAUGCUAUCCAGGAACGAGUACGUUUUCAUAACACUGGUCCCUCAUCGGUCCAUGGUAUUAUAGUGAUGAGCAUUGAAGAUGGUCAUGACGGCACCCCUGGGUUAACCCAAUUGGAUUCUAACUACUCAUACAUCGUGGUAAUCUUCAAUUCAUGUCCAACAGAGGUGUCAUUUGGCAGCUUUGCACUUCGCUGAAGAAAUCUUCAACUGCAUCCCAUACAGACUCUGUCAAGCGAUGAACUAGUCAAGAACUCAUCUUAUGACGCAUCCUCAGGGUGCUUCACCGUGCCUCCGAGGACGACAUCUGUAUUUGUCGAGCCUCGGAAAACUUGAGCAGCGUAUGCAGUGAGAACACUAAAAUAAUUGUCUAGUGAAUUUUCCAUGCGAGAGGUACGUUGAUUGAGUGUAUUAGUCAUAGUUUCUCUCCUCAGUUUAACUUGGACCCAAAAUUCAGUUAUUUCCAGGGCUGUUUUUUGAGUAGAAAAUGAAACCACUCUAGCAAUUAUUUUUGCUACCCCAACCUUUUCUUGAUCCAUAUUGCAGCACAUAGACUUUCCAUUUGGAGAUAAAAUAUUAGAUUAUGAUUUCAACCUUCUAA